rnacentral:rRNA from 1 species
AACGAACGCUGGCGGCAUGCCUAACACAUGCAAGUCGAACGAAGCCUUCGGGCUUAGUGGCGCACGGGUGCGUAACGCGUGGGAAUCUGCCCUUGGGUUCGGAAUAACAGUUAGAAAUGACUGCUAAUACCGAAUGAUGUCUUCGGACCAAAGAUUUAUCGCCCAAGGAUGAGCCCGCGUCGGAUUAGCUAGUUGGUGAGGUAAAGGCUCACCAAGGCGACGAUCCGUAGCUGGUCUGAGAGGAUGAUCAGCCACACUGGGACUGAGACACGGCCCAGACUCCUACGGGAGGCAGCAGUGGGGAAUAUUGGACAAUGGGCGAAAGCCUGAUCCAGCAAUGCCGCGUGAGUGAUGAAGGCCUUAGGGUUGUAAAAGCUCUUUUACCCGGGAUGAUAAUGACAGUACCGGGAGAAUAAAGCCCCGGCUAAACUCCGUGCCAGCAGCCGCGGUAAAU